rnacentral:rRNA from 1 species
UACGUAGGGGGCAAGCGUUAUCCGGAUUUACUGGGUGUAAAGGGAGCGUAGACGGCGGUGCAAGCCAGAUGUGAAAGCCCGGGGCUCAACCCCGGGACUGCAUUUGGAACUGUGCUGCUAGAGUGUCGGAGAGGCAGGCGGAAUUCCUAGUGUAGCGGUGAAAUGCGUAGAUAUUAGGAGGAACACUCGUGGCGAAGGCGGGUUCCUGGACAUUAACUGACGCUGAGGCACGAAGGCCAGGGGAGCGAAAGGG